GAUGAACGCUAGCGGCAGGCUUAACACAUGCAAGUCGAGGGGCAGCAUGAGACGGAGAUUCGUCGAAGUCUUGAUGGCGACCGGCGCACGGGUGCGUAACGCGUAUGCAACCUACCCAUAACAGGGGGAUAACACUGAGAAAUUGGUACUAAUACCCCGUAACAUCAUUUGAGGCAUCUCAGAUGGUUGAAAGUUCCGGCGGUUAUGGAUGGGCAUGCGUUGUAUUAGCUAGUUGGUGGGGUAACGGCUCACCAAGGCGACGAUACAUAGGGGGACUGAGAGGUUAACCCCCCACAUUGGUACUGAGACACGGUCCAGACUCCUACGGGAGGCAGCAGUGAGGAAUAUUGGUCAAUGGUCGAGAGACUGAACCAGCCAAGUAGCGUGAAGGAUGACUGCCCUACGGGUUGUAAACUUCUUUUGUUGGAAUAAAUGAUGCUACGUGUAGUAUUUUGCAUGUACCUUACGAAUAAGCAUCGGCUAAUUCCGUG
rnacentral:rRNA from 1 species